rnacentral:rRNA from 1 species
GGCUCCUACGGGACGCAGCAGUGGGGGAUAUUGCACAAUGGGGGAAACCCUGAUGCAGCGACGCCGCGUGGGUGAAGAAGCGCCUCGGCGCGUAAAGCCCUGUCAGCAGGGAAGAAAAUGACGGUACCUGAAGAAGAAGCCCCGGCUAACUACGUGCCAGCAGCCGCGGUACUACGUAGGGGGCAAGCGUUAUCCGGAUUUACUGGGUGUAAAGGGGGCGCAGACGGCGAUGCAAGCCAGGAGUGAAAGCGCGGGGCCCAACCCCGGGACUGCUCUUGGCACUGCGUGGCUAGAGUGCAGGGGGG